rnacentral:rRNA from 1 species
UACGUAGGGUGCGAGCGUUAAUCGGAAUUACUGGGCGUAAAGCGUGCGCAGGCGGUUUUGUAAGCCAGAUGUGAAAUCCCCGGGCUUAACCUGGGAAUGGCAUUUGGGACUGCAAGGCUGGAGUGUGGCAGAGGAGACUGGAAUUCCUGGUGUAGCAGUGAAAUGCGCAGAUAUCAGGAGGAAUACCGAUGGCGAAGGCAGGUCUCUGGGCUGACACUGACGCUCAUGCACGAAAGCGUGGGGAGCAAACAGG